AGACCCGAAACCCGGUGAUCUAGCCAUGGGCAGGUUGAAGGUUGGGUAACACUAACUGGAGGACCGAACCGACUAAUGUUGAAAAAUUAGCGGAUGACCUGUGGCUGGGGGUGAAAGGCCAAUCAAACCGGGAGAUAGCUGGUUCUCCCCGAAAGCUAUUUAGGUAGCGCCUCGUGAAUUCAUCUCCGGGGGUAGAGCACUGUUUCGGCUAGGGGGCCAUCCCGGCUUACCAACCCGAUGCAAACUGCGAAUACCGGAGAAUGUUAUCACGGGAGACACACGGCGGGUGCUAACGUCCGUCGUGAAGAGGGAAACAACCCAGACCGCCAGCUAAGGUCCCAAAGUCAUGGUUAAGUGGGAAACGAUGUGGGAAGGCCCAGACAGCCAGGAUGUUGGCUUAGAAGCAGCCAUCAUUUAAAGAAAGCGUAAUAGCUCACUGGUCGAGUCGGCCUGCGCGGAAGAUGUAACGGGGCUAAACCAUGCACCGAAGCUGCGGCAGCGACACUGUGUGUUGUUGGGUAGGGGAGCGUUCUGUAAGCCUGUGAAGGUGUGUCGUGAGGCAUGCUGGAGGUAUCAGAAGUGCGAAUGCUGACAUAAGUAACGAUAAAGCGGGUGAAAAGCCCGCUCGCCGGAAGACCAAGGGUUCCUGUCCAACGUUAAUCGGGGCAGGGUGAGUCGACCCCUAAGGCGAGGCCGAAAGGCGUAGUCGAUGGGAAACGGGUUAAUAUUCCCGUACUUGGUGUUACUGCGAAGGGGGGACGGAGAAGGCUAUGUUGGCCGGGCGACGGUUGUCCCGGUUUAAGCGUGUAGGUGUGUGUUCCAGGUAAAUCCGGUUCACUUUAACACU
rnacentral:rRNA from 1 species